CUCCCCCACCAACCCCAGGGCUCCUGCGUAGGAUCUGAGGAGUGGACGAGUCUCAUUACCCAGCUCCUGAGCAGGAAAAAUAUGUCAUUGGCAAGGGUCUAAGAAUCUUCCU